rnacentral:rRNA from 1 species
CAAUAGCGUAUAUUAAAGUUGUUGCAGUUAAAAAGCUCGUAGUUGGAUUUCGGGGCAGCCUGGCUGGUCCGCCGCAAGGCGAGUACUGGUCAGCCGCCCUUCCUCUCGAAAGCCCCGACUGCUCUUUAUUGCAGUGGUCGGGUAGUUCGGGACGUUUACUUUGAAAAAAUUAGAGUGUUCAAGGCAGGCCUACGCCUGAAUACAUUAGCAUGGAAUAAUGGAAGAGGACCUCGGUCCUAUUUUGUUGGUUUCCAGGACCGAAGUAAUGAUUAAGAGGGACAGUUGGGGGCAUUCGUAUUUAAUUGUCGGAGGUGAAAUUCUCGGAUUUAUGAAAGACGAACAACUGCGAAAGCAUUUGCCAAGGAUGUUUUCAUUAA